AGACGGAGGGGGCAAGCGUUGUUCGGAAUUAUUGGGCGUAAAGCGCGCGUAGGCGGUCAGGUCAGUCGGACGUGAAAGCCCAGGGCUCAACCCUGGAAGUGCGUUCGAUACUGCUUGACUUGAGUACGGGAGAGGAGAGUGGAAUUCCCAGUGUAGCGGUGAAAUGCGUAGAUAUUGGGAGGAACACCGGUGGCGAAGGCGGCUCUCUGGACCGUCACUGACGCUGAGGCGCGAAAGCUAGGGGAGCAAACAGGAUUAGAUACCCCGGUAGUCC
rnacentral:rRNA from 1 species